rnacentral:lncRNA from 1 species
AUGGGCCAGACUGUGCCCCCAGCAGGCCGGGCGCCCUCCAGCGGCCUGCACCUCCAGGAGGCCCCGGCUUUCCCUCAGGCCCCGUGUGGGGAGCUCCUUCUAGCUGCACCAACAAACACAGACCCACCCCCAAGCCUGGCCGGUCCUCAGGGGGACUCCACAGCAUCUGCCCGGAGCCCGCCGAGCCCAUGCGGGCGUCCUGCCCAAGAACCCGGGUUCCGAUCCCAGAGCUCCUCUAGCUGCGCCCCUACCUGUUUGGGCCUCAGUUUCCCAGCUGUAAGACGGAGAUCUGGACGCCUCCUUCGGGGCUCAGCACCCGGGCUGGUACACAGCAGGCGCUUAAUCACUGUCCCCUGCUACGGGUCCAGCUCCAGGGCUUCCCUGGGGCGGGGACAGGCGUCUCCAGACGCGUCGACCCCCGCCCCGUGCAGGGUCCACGCAAACCGAAAUGCAAACGCAGCAAGCGCGGGCUCGGCGCCGUGGCCCGGGGAGCGCGUGGGGGCGCCCGGCCCCCCACAGCCCCGCGCGGGCGCUGAGCGGCGUCCAGCCCGGCUCUCAGCGAUCCGUGUAAAUGUUUACACCGGGAGGGCGGCCAGGCCCCGCGCGGCCCGACACCAGGCGGCCGCCCGGGAAUGUAAACGCGGGCUGGGGCCGCGGCGGCGGCGGCGGCGGCGGGGAGCGGCUCCGCGGGGUGGCGCCGGUGCGCAGGCGUCAGGGCACCUACUGUGUGCAGCGAGCGCGCCGCGACCUGCGGGCCGGCACCCUGCGUCGGUGCCCGAAUGGGGCACGCUCAGGCCACCCCGGGGGCCCGGGGCUGGGGGCGAGGCCUCGGGGGAGACGCCCGCCCCGUCCAAGGCGAGACGGAGCGGGGAGCGGAGAGGGGACGAGGCGGUGCAGGGGCGAUGUGCCGGGUGGGAGGACCGCACUGUGCACAGGCCGGGGUGCCGGGGCCGCUUGCGGGCGUCACUUUACCUGCUCAGAGAGGGGCGGGGCUGCACACCCGAGGCCCCCAACGUGGAAGGGGCACCCUCGACCCCAGGGCUCCUGCCUCUCAAGCUGUGCUCUAAGCACCAUCUCAGCUCCACCCCCUGGUCCCACAGUGCCCCCUGCUGGGGCGCCCACACCUCCCUCCACGCUGCCCCCAAGCCUACUGGGCUCCACCACCGCGGCCUCAGGGUGCAUGGGCCCCCGUUGGUCCAGGCUGGGGCCCUUGCACCGGCUGCUCCCCGCUGCAGCGAUGCCAGUGCCCUGUGCCUGGCUGAGAUGCCCUCCUCCUUGCUCGGGUCUCAACUUCCAUGGCUAUUCAGGGAAGCGCUGUGGGACCCCGCAUGGGGGUGCUCCCCCUGCCACCGCCCGCACCGCACCCGCCCUCUUCGUGGGCAGCAUUUUUCACAACCUUGUGCAGCGGGUUCUUGA